rnacentral:lncRNA from 1 species
UGAAUAGUUUUUUUAAGUGGGCAAAGAAAUGUUGAUAUGUUCAUAUUUUGAUGCAAUUAAUUAACUUAAUAAAUAUACUAAGCUUGGAUUUGAAAUGGUGAAAAAUACCAUCAAAUGCUAAGAUUAUAAUCUCAUUUUUAAAAUAUUUUAAAAUUCCUAUUUAAAGCCAAGUAUAAAUUGUAGCAUUUUCUAAUUUUUUCAUGUAUUGUGACAGCAAAUCUUGAUUGUUAAUUUGAUGGGCUUGGAAGAUGGCUAGAUUAGUAAUACUUCUGGAGGUUCUAGGUGUGUCAUGGAAGUAUAGCUUGGCAUACUUGGCUCCUUCCUCUCUAGAGCUUUUUUCUUGCUUUUUGGACACAAUGAGUUGAGCAGCUUUGCUCCAUGAUGAUUUUUCUGCCUUCAAGCCAGCCAACAAUAGACUGAAACCACUGAAACCUGGAGCCAAAUAAAAUUCUGUCUUUUUUAAGUUGUAGGUGCCAAGUUUUUUGUUUUUUUUUUUUAAGACAGUGUCUCACUAUGUAGUUUAGGCUGGCCUCAAACUCACUAUGUACUGCAGGCUGGCUUCAAACUCAGGGAGAUCCUCCUUCCUCAGCCUCCCGAGUGCUGGGACUACAGGCAUGCACCACCAUGCCUGGCUUAGGUGUCAGGUAUUUUGUCUCAACACUGUGAAAGCUGACUUUAUAUAUAUAUUAAAUAAAAUGUACUGCUGCAUAAAACUUUACCUCAAGCACAUAAGUAAUAAUGUAAAUAAUAAUGAUAGUAAUAUCAAUAUUAGCUAUGAUUUACUGAGCUUACUCUUUUGUCAGCAUUGUGCUAAAUUUUAUUUAUGCCUUUAUUGAACAAAAAGUUAUUGAUUCAUUUUUGUAUAUUAGAGUUGAAACAAGAUAAUUAAGACUUCAAAAUUGAUCAGAAAAAUCUUUCUAUUUGUAGUUCAGGGGAUUGAACCCAGGACCACACACUUGCUAUAUUGCAUAUGCAUGUGCUUUUGUGGACAGAAUGUCCAGGUUGCAGAAACCAGAAGACUCUGAGUAAGUUGUGUUUAUGUAAUAAUUUCUAAAAAUGGUACAAAAUGGGAGCAUUGAAAGAUGUUGUUUUCUAGGCUGGCAAAUAGAGUCAAGUCUUAGUUCAUAAAGUUAUAGAUAGGUCAAGGCAACUAGUUAUCUAUGGACCUUCUGUACAUAAUCACAUAUUGU